rnacentral:tRNA from 1 species
CCAGUCAUAGCUCAGUGGGUAGAGGAUGAGACUCUUAAUCUCAGGAUCAUGGGUUCAAGCCCCACGUUGGG